AUCGACUAUGUCGAAUAAAAUUCUAGGUAGAAUUAUGAUAAUGACAUUGUCUGCCUAUGUGUCUNGACCAAAUUACGUGCCAGCAGUCGCGGUAAUACGUAGAAGACUAGUGUUAUUCAUGUUUAAUCGGUUUAAAGGGUACCUAGACGGUAAAUCAAGCCUAAAAUUAAAUGAAGGGACUAAUUUACUAGAGUUACUUAUGAGGGGGUAUUAAAGUACUGCUGGUGUAGAGAUGAAAUUCUGUCAUACCUCUUUUCAAUAGAAAAACAAUGGCACAGGUAUAGGCGAAAGCAUCCCCUUAUGUGAUAACUGACGUUGAGGGACGAAGGCUUUGUGUAGCGAACAGGAUUAGAUACCCCAGUAGUCAAAGCAGAAAAUGAUGAAUGUCAUAGAUUAGAUAAAUAAGUUUAUUCUAUAAAUGAAAGUGUAAGCAUUCCACCUCAAGAGUAAUUUGGCAACAUUGGAACUGAAAUCAUUAGACCGUUUCUGAAACCAGUAGUGAAGUAUGUUGUUUAAUUUGAUGAUCCGCAAAAAACCUUACCACAAUUUGAAUAUUUAUAUUUUUUUAUUGUUUUCUUUUUAAUUUUCUUCUGAUUUGAUUUUUCUAAAGAAAAAAAGAAAAAGAGGCGAUAUGAUAUAUUUACAAGCGUUGCACGGCUGUCUUCAGUUAAUGUCGCGAGACUUUGGUUAGUUCCAUUAAAUUAACGUAAACCCUUACUUUAUUUUUAUAUAGAGUAGUUCCCCGCUAUAUUGGAUAUGAUAACC
rnacentral:rRNA from 1 species